AGCUGAUGCUGAAAUGUGCAGCUUGCAAUUAUUUCUCUCCAAUUCUCUUAGGGCUUUUAAGAAAUUCUUAUCUAAAAGUAGAUAAUUUUAUUGACAACACAGCCUAUAUGCUAAGGUCAUUGGAACGAAGUGCUCUCACUGCUGAACUGUGGACUUUUCAUUGGCACCAUGAUUAAUAUCAGAGCGCAGCACUUCCUCAAGGAAGAGUUUAUAAGCGGCAGAGAGAAACUAUAUGAGUCACAAAACCAAAUACCAACUAAAUGAAAGAAAACAUCAGAAGUGGUGACAGCACCAAGGCCUGAGUCGUCUAUGCCUGUCUGUAAGCCUCUUUGUGGAGCUUUUGUGUCACCAAGCCAGGCUUCCUGGAUGUUGGAUUUAUUGAAAACAAAGAAGUCUCCCAUUGCUACAGGGAAAGGAACAAUUUGGAGGUUUUUGGAGAACCCACAAUUAAAUUCAUAUUCUGACUUUGAUCAUUGCUACCUUUGCAGCUUUAGGUAAGUUACUUAACUUUCCUAAACUUUCCUUUUUUGUAAUUUUAAAGUAAGGGUAAUAAUGGCAAACUUGCAUGGAUAUUGGAAACAUUAAAUGAGCGAGAAAAUCUCCUAAUCCUAUCAUCCUGCUAUUCUUCCUUUCCACUGACCAUCACCAAUCUGGUCAUAUUUCCUUGGGCACUAUCAAACAGACUGA